GGGAGGACCGGGACGACAUGUGGCAGGAGCUAGUAGCGCUUUUGAACGAAGAAUUCCCUGCGCGUAACACCAGAGCCCAGUGGCAGGCCCAAUGGAGGAAUGAGCGCUACUAUUCGCAGCAGGGUCUUAACAAACUCCGAGGGCAGCAGAGGUGAGUGCGAGCACAAUUGUAUUGUGGUCGGUCAUCUUACACGUCCCGCUUGUGCUUUACAGCGGCACCCGAGGCGGCCAGAUUUCGGAUUACCGCGGCCGUGUCGUGCUCGACAGAGACGAGUGUGCGAGGCCCAGAGUUCGGGUGGUCUGAAUCGGUGAGCCCUGCUCCAGCUGCUGCUGGUGUGGCUGAAGAGGAUGUGGCCCAGGAUCUUCCCCGUGCCCCAACUCCUCAUGCCGCAGCUGCGAGAUGGGGGCAACCGGCAGGCCGAGGCGCUGGAGUUACUAGCCGCAAACACCAGGCGGCAGGGCCAGGCAUCAUUGGAAAGCUGCGCCA